AGUGCACAAGGCUCCCGCUUUACGUAGGGUCUGGGAGAGGUGAAUGUCAGCUAGCCUUACCCCCAUUUAUAAAGAUGCUACUCCCAAGUCUCGAACCCGAGACCUACCGCUCAUGGGCGAAGGCACUUGCCAUCGCACCAAGUGCGACCUCUCAAAAAAUACUGAUUAGGUCAUGCAUAAUAAAAAAAUUGGAUGCAUGUGCACAUAUUGAUUUAUGCUAAACAAUUGAUUUACUAGCUUCAUAUAUGUCUACAGAACAAGCUAUAAAGCAAUGACAGUAAUAAGAGAGUAUGACUCAUAUGAAGAGAGUAUGACUCAUGUGGAAGCAAUAGGAGUUGACUCAUAUGAAGAGAGUAUGACCCAAAAAUAUUAUUUAAUUAGUUGCAAAAAUAUUUUUGAAGAGAGUAUGAAGAGAGUAUGACUCAUAUGAAGAGAGUAUGACUCAUGUGGAAGCAAUAGGAGUUGACUCAUAUGAAGAGAGUAUGACUGUCAUAUGAGAGUACGACCCAAAAAUAUUAUUUAAUUAGUUACAAAAAUAUUUUUGCAAGAUUGGAAAUAACCUUAUGACCCAAAAAUAUUAUUUAAUUAGUUACAAAAAUAUUUUUGCAAGAUUGGAAAUAACCUGGAAGUAGGGAGUAAGUAUCCAACUGUACUCUUUUGAAACAAGCCAAAAUCUUAUUUAAGCAGCUCUAAGCCAAGAUCUUAGGUGCCAAAUAUAAUAAGAUAUUUGGAAACUAAAAAACCCAUCUCCCCCUCUCUUCUUUCCAGAAAAAAAUGAGGGCAUUUCUGCAGCAACUACUCAACAAGAUAUUCACUAGCGUGUUGCAUAAUGACCUUGACCCAUCCAACUUAGAUUGGGCAACGAUUAUUCUGGCGUAUUGCAUGUCCACGGCAAUUGGAAUGGCUCUCGUACCCAUCCAACUGCACUCCAAGCAGCUCCCUCUGUCCUUUUGCUUUCUUGGUCUCGCAAUCACACUCUCCUUCUCGAGCAUCUUGGUUAGCAAGUUCAUUCAGAACUCCAAAUGCCCACGAAUCAUAGUUCAUCUCUUCCAUUAUUUCGGUGUCUUCUUUGGGGUGAUCGCCUUCUUCAUUUCCAUCACAAUCCCAUUUCCCCUCUGGUUCAAGUGUACUGCAUCUGUCAUCUAUGCGGCCUCAGGCCUUGUAAUACUAUUUUGUCACCACUACUAUAACUGAUCAGAUGUAUCCAGCAAGAAUUAUGUUACGAACCCAAUUUGUAAUUGAGGUUUAUGGUUUAAUUAAGAGUUAAGUUAGUUGUAAUUGAGGGUUUUACUUGUUAUUAGGGGAAUUUGUUGGAAAUGCCAACUGGCAGUAGUCACACUUCGUGUAUAAGAGCACCUGCUCUUUGGUUUGUAAACAUAUCAGACUUUACAAAAAGAAAUUAAAUUCAUUCUGAGACACUGUGAAAGGCACAAACUCUUCGAUAGAAAAGCUCUCAGCUGAGACUCCUUGCUGUACACUAUCAAGUGAAAGGAUAGAAGUUGGAAAAGAGCAAACUGCCUAGAAGAAUGUACGCAGCAGAGUAUGCCCAAACUAUAUAUCCCCAUCUCUUAACAGUACCACGAGAUUUCAUUAUAUACGACGCAAAUCAAUAGAGGGGAGGGCUGAAGGAUAAGAGACGAGUAGCAACCUGUCAAACAUGAAGCAUUCAAAGUUAUGAUAUCAAUUUUCCAAAUACAAACCUUGCCAGAAAAAUAACAUAAUAAUACCAGCAAAGAGCACAAGCUAAAAACCAAGAUGGUCAUUAAUCUAUUAUGCCAUUCUGAUCACAAGGCAGCAUCUUCGCACCAUCUUUGGAAGAAAACUUUACGCGUCAUCUAACUAAGCGAAAAGUUUUAGUCUUGGUGCAUACAAAUUUGGAAAUACAUGCAUAGUUCGGAGUUUUUGGUGAGUCAGUUCUAUUCAAAAUGUAAAACUUCAGCAUGAUUAAUCUUUACAUGAUUGGUUAAUCUUCAUCCAUCAAGCUUUUCGUCCCUGAAACAAUUUGUCAAUUACAAGGGGAAAAAACAACUGAUUCCCUCUAGCUUGCUUUUUCCAUUGAAAAAUAAAAUAAAUCAUGAUGCCAGUGAUGAUCGAAUUUCUUUUGUUUUAGCAUCAGAAUCCAAAUAUAAACCCAAAAAAUUGACAAAAUUAUAUUGAUCAAGUCGAAGAGAAUCACCGACAACCAUAAUUUCAUGAAGCUGAAAUAUGGUAUUCUAUAUUUCUCAAAUACUCCUAGCUUAAAAAUUUUUUUUGGCAAAAUAAAGAACUUUAAGAGGGAAUAAAAUCAAACCUGCACAUGCAUGACAAAAAAUGCGGUGGCUGCCAUAAAUCCCAAAUGUAGAAUACAUGGAAGCACAGCAACAGACAAGUAUCCUUGCUUUGCUGAUACCUUAUGUUCUUCUGGGAGUAAAGCAGGACCAUCUUUGUUCACUUGCUUCCUUGUGCAAUUUUCUGUUACAUUUGCAAACGAUUGAUUACACGGUGUUGAAAGCCAGCAUGAAUGGAAGAGAAACAAUAUUCCAAAAAAUACUGAUUAGGUCAUGCAUAAUAAAAAAAUUGGAUGCAUGUGCACAUAUUGAUUUAUGCUAAACAAUUGAUUUACUAGCUUC
rnacentral:lncRNA from 1 species